rnacentral:rRNA from 1 species
GACGAACGCUGGCGGCGUGCCUAAUACAUGCAAGUUGAGCGAUGAAGAUUGGUGCUUGCACCAAUUUGAAGAGCAGCGAACGGGUGAGUAACGCGUGGGGAAUCUGCCUUUGAGCGGGGGACAACAUUUGGAGACGAAUGCUAAUACCGCAUAACAACUUUAAACAUAAGUUUUAAGUUUGAAAGAUGCAAUUGCAUCACUCAAAGAUGAUCCCGCGUUGUAUUAGCUAGUUGGUGAGGUAAAGGCUCACCAAGGCGAUGAUACAUAGCCGACCUGAGAGGGUGAUCGGCCACAUUGGGACUGAGACACGGCCCAAACUCCUACGGGAGGCAGCAGUAGGGAAUCUUCGGCAAUGGACGAAAGUCUGACCGAGCAACGCCGCGUGAGUGAAGAAGGUUUUCGGAUCGUAAAACUCUGUUGGUAGAGAAGAACGUUGGUGAGAGUGGAAAGCUCAUCAAGUGACGGUAACUACCCAGAAAGGGACGGCUAACUACGUG